CGACCGGGGCGACAGCAAUAUGAAGGCCAGGCUGAAGACUUUGCCGGAUUAGCUGAGAGGUGGUGCAUGGCCGUCGUCAGUUCGUACUGUGAAGCAUCCUGUUAAGUCAGGCAACGAGCGAGACCCACGCCCACAGUUGCCAGCGUACUCUCUGGAGUGACGGGUACACUGUGGGGACCGCCGCUGCUAAAGCGGAGGAAGGAAUGGGCAACGGUAGGUCAGUAUGCCCCGAAUAUCCCGGGCUACACGCGAGCUACAAUGGUUGGUACAAUGGGUAUCUACCCCGAAAGGGGACGGGAAUCUCCUAAAACCAAUCUUAGUUCGGAUUGAGGGCUGCAACUCGCCCUCAUGAAGCUGGAAUCCGUAGUAAUCGCGUUUCAACAGAACGCGGUGAAUACGUCCCUGCUCCUU
rnacentral:rRNA from 1 species